GGGGAUGUAGCUCAGUGGAUAGAGAGCUUGCUUAGCAUGCAUGAAGCCUUGAGUUCCACCCUCCAUUCCCA
rnacentral:tRNA from 1 species